AAAAAUGUAGCUUUCUUUAAAUUUUUAAGACGUCAUACGAAAGGUCAUGACUUAUUUUCCUGUUUUUCAUCCCCACUUCUAAUUCUGCCCUUCUUCAAAGAGGAUUUAAUGAUUUAUUCAGUUUAUUUGAUCAUGGAGUGUGUAAUUGAUGGCCUGAUUGAAUGUUCAUUCAAUUUUUAGCAUUGAAUAUAAUUGAAGAUGUGGAUUGAAUCCCAUUUAACCCUUACAAGAAACUGAAAAAGUUAAGACACCCCUUUUUAUUUACUCAUCACCAUUUACAUCAUCAGAAGCAGCAACAGUUACAAUCACCAAAUCCACAAGCAUUUCUCUAUGUCUCCCCAAAUUCCCAAUUUCACAUACCUGAAGAUAAAAUCUGGCAUGUAAGUUUUAUCAUUGUAACAAUUUAUUACGAUUGGGUUUGUUGAAACUCGUAAAAUUGGGGCUUGAAAUUGAAAUUAGGUUGUUUUUCUUGUGUUGAAAUUUGGUGAUUGGUUGGUUCCAAUGGCUGAAGUGGCGUCUUAGUCAACCACCACCGGUACGCCGACCGACUGGAUAAGGAGAUCAAGAUGAUUGAUCAUCCAAAACAGCCGAAACUGGUUAAUGGCAUGGGAGGCUGCAGCGAAAGCAUAUCAAGAGCUUUUAAUGGAUAUGUGUUGGCAGAAACUUGCCCCUAACUUGCCUUAUGUGAAGUCAUUGUUUUAGGUUGGUUUGAGCCAUUGAGGCUUCGUCGGAGACUCACGGAAACGAAGGCGUCUCCGUCAAUUGUUGAAGAAAUUGAAGCUAAGCUUCGUGAUGCAGUUUGUCGACAGAGCACUGGGCGCUGGACGUGUAGCUGGCUGAAGUAUUUGGGCUGUGAUCAGAUCUUGUUGUGGGCUGUAACAUAUAUGGUUGGUCUUCUGGUGGGCUACUCUUCAUCAGCUACUUGCUGAGGUAAGUGCAUAUAAGUCCCUGAUUUACAUUCGAUUGUUGCGUCUUAUGUCUGCAGAGGUUCAUUAUGAACUUGUAGAAGAGUUUCUAGUCAAGUGUGUAUUAUUUAUUUUCUUGUGUUGUAUAAAAACCAUUUGAAGAGUUUUUGUUAUGUUUUCAUCAAGCACCUACAACAAUUACCAAUGGCCAUGUAAAGUUGGAAAGUGGAACUACUCGGGGCAGUCUUCAAGAAUAUGUUUUGAACUCAAGCAAAUUAUACAACUCCGUUUAACACACGGGUCUAGAUAGGGUUGUCCAAAAGCUUGCGGCUUGGAGCUUGCUUGGAUUUAGCUCGGAAAAAGCUCACUCGAUAUGGCUCGGUUUGAAACUGAACCGAGUCCGCUCGGCUCGAUUAGAAAGUGAGCCUGGCUCGGCUCGUCUUGUAACGAGCCGGAUUGGCUUACUCGUUAGCUUCGCUUGGGCUAGGUUAGAUUAUUUAUUUUAAAAUAUGUUAUUUUUAUGUAUGUCAUAAUAUAUUAAAAACAAAUUAUUAUUUGUAUUCAUUAAGAGUGCAAAUGGAUAUAUGUAGCGUAUUUUUGGGUUGAUUA